GCUACUGUGCACAUGGUCAGGAGGUAAAACUGGAUCAAAUCAAGAACAGGUUCCUGCCUUGAAGAUUUAGAAAUCUGAAAAGCAAGGAAAAAAGUGUGUGAGGUUCUGUCCUGCCUGGCCUUUUAACCACUUCUAAGCAGUUUCAACCAGGAAGUUUCUGUUCUUCAUUUAAAUUUGCAUCAGCAGAGGCGAAAUGAGCAGAGAUUAAGUCUAAGUCUGGUGAAAACCCACAAAAGAAUAAUUUUUCGUGGAGGAGUGUAGGGGUGGAUCUGAUUGUGGAGACUGCAGGUGCUUGAAUUAAGUCUUCAACAGAGAUGACUCUGCUCACUUGGGAUUCACAACCACAAAUCCUCUAAUGAGGGUUGACACCCACAUAUGUUCUUUGAAGACAUGUUUAUGCUGCUAAUUAAAAAGGGGCCAUGAGACAACCCCUGGCCUCAAAGCCAAAUGGCACAAACUGGCUCAUGGCUGCACAGCUGAGGCUUCUUCUGGAACUAAAUUUAUCUCGGAGAGAGUUUCCUGAAGCAGCCUGAAAGGGAAACAGGAUGUGAACUAAAAUUUAAAUAUUGUGCAUUAGUUGUGGGCCUGCUGCUUAAUCCAAAUCCUGUCUCAUAUUUAUCUGUAAAGAUGUGUCUUGUGAAAUCUGGACAGAACUACCACCCUUAAAAGAUCCUCCAAGACAACAACCCUCUAUGCAGCCAUCAAUGGUUGUAAUGUUUCCUGAAGAAGUGGUAGACCUAUUUUAUAGGUUCUAAAGGAGCGCCACUGCCAUGAAGUUCCCUCAACCUCUCCUGUUAAACUGGACAGAAAAGACUACUGGAAGCUUCAGGCCAGACAGAGAGAAUAACUUUGCAUAACUUUGAAUGCUAAUAAUUAGUUAAGGGAAAGGAAAUACCAUGUUGGUUUGGUUUGGUUUAAUUGGUUGAUUUUCUCCUAGGACUAUUUCUGUUGAUUAAAUGAGUCUCAAAUACAGGAAUUGCCAUGCAGUUUAAAUGCCUACAGUUCCUUUUAUUGGCUCUUUUUCUUUUAAAAAAAAAAAAAUCUUGGAAAAAUCCCCAAAGAGGUUACUGUAAAGUAGUCAUGACAAAUGUAGGUAGAAGAUGCAAGAUGUAGAUGCAGGCUGUGUAUAUUAUCACAGAAAGGAUUGUGUUCAGCAGGAAAAUCUGAAAUGCAUCUGUUGUAAUAUAGCCUUUUUCACUGCUUUUUUCUGGAAGAGGCUGCAGCUGUUAGAUGUACUCAGUAUUGUAAACCUCUGUGCAGGUGGUAACUAGCAUCAGCAGACAGAACCUGUGGUUUCUGCCUGUUUGGGUUUUAUUCCUGGACAUGGCUUACAAGAACUAUAAUUAUUAUUUCAAAAUGUGACCAGAAGAGGGGAGAUCACGGAGGGGAAAAUUAGCAGUCUUAAAAUCCUAAUAUUAAUUGCCUCAGUGUUUAGUUGCUAUACUUAAAGCCAUAAGCCAAACAAACACACUUUUUUUUUUUUUUUUUUUAUUGCUCUGCAGAUGCAAACUGGAACAUAAUAGCCAAAGGCAAAUGUAUCCAUCCACAAAUAUUUUGCAAAUACUUUUAUGAAGUACCUCUUUACAAAGGUUGUGCUCAGUUUUCAGAAGCUUGUAAUGUGUAUUGGUUUUGAAAAGUUUCCAGAAAAAAACAUGUCCGCAGUUUUUAUGCCCUGGAAGAAAUCAAGGAACAUUUUGCAACCUAAAAGGGUGCAGAGUCACCACCAAAUCAAGCCUAAUGCAGUCAAGCUGUUGCUGAGCACUGGUUUGUCAUCUAGCGUGAUCCCAGUUCUCUCUUUUGACCAGAGCUCUGUGUCAGCCAAAAUACUAGUUGAAUGUCUCAAUGGCUAAAAUCCAAAAGAGAGCUGAAAAGUUUUCCUUUUUGUUCUCCAUGGUUCUUACACCACCACAAGCACUGAUAGGACACUGGGAAACUUCUUGUUUCUGAAAUGUAGAAGUUUCACAAAUAGAAGAAAAUUGAAUUAAUGUUGCAACUGAAAAUAGUAUUGUGCAAUGUAAUUCCUCAGUUUCUAGAGGCUCCUAUUUGAAUUAUAUAGAUAGAAAGUGGAUCCAUAUUUCCCACCAUCCUAAAGCCUCUGGUGUCUGGGGUGUCUUUCAUAACUGGCUUGGUCUCCUCACUUGUGGGUGGAACUUUACAUACUGGGGUGAAUGUAAAACAUUGCUGGGUGACAAAAACAGAGGUGCUUGUGGAAGAGCAUCUCUGCCCAGUAAAGUUCUCCAAUUCAAUUUUUACAAUUCAAUAAAGUGUUUAAGCUUAUUUAAUGCAGUACUACUGUAGUUUUUUUUAUUUU